rnacentral:rRNA from 1 species
CGCGUAGGUGGGAUAGUAAGUCUGCUUUAAAAGUGCGGGGCUCAACCCCGUGAUGGGGUGGAAACUGCUAUUCUUGAGUGCAGGAGAGGAAAGCGGAAUUCCCAGUGUAGCGGUGAAAUGCGUAGAUAUUGGGAGGAACACCAGUGGCGAAGGCGGCUUUCUGGACUGUGUCUGACACUGAGGCGCGAAAGCUAGGGGAGCGAACGGGAUUAGAUACCCCGGUAGUCCUAGCCGUAAACGAUGGGUACUAGGUGUAGGGGGUAUCGACCCCCCUGUGCCGGAGUUAACGCAAUAAGUACCCCGCCUGGGGAGUACGGCCGCAAGGUUGAA